UACGAAGGGGGCUAGCGUUGUUCGGAAUUACUGGGCGUAAAGCGCACGUAGGCGGAAUGUUAAGUCAGGGGUGAAAUCCCGGGGCUCAACCCCGGAACUGCCUUUGAUACUGGCAUUCUCGAGUCCGGAAGAGGUGAGUGGAAUUCCGAGUGUAGAGGUGAAAUUCGUAGAUAUUGGGAAGAACACCGGUGGCGAAGGCGGCGCUCUGGACCGAGACUGACGCUGAGGCGCGAAAGCGUGGGGAGCAAACAGG
rnacentral:rRNA from 1 species